rnacentral:rRNA from 1 species
UUAAGUCUCCUGAAGGAACGUUGAAGACGACGACGUUGAUAGGCCGGGUGUGUAAGCGCAGCGAUGCGUUGAGCUAACCGGUACUAAUGAACCGUGAGGCUUAACCUU